UUCCUCCCUCCUUCUCUCUGUCUACCUCAGCAUUUCUGGGGUUCACUCUGCUCUGGGUACUGUGUAAAGGACUCCACAGCCAUCAACUUCCCUUCAUCCUUGCCGUGUCUUUGAAAGAGCUGAGAUUUCUUUACAUCACAGUGGUUCAAGGAGAAAAACACAGCCAGAUCCUUCCUCAUCUCAACAUAAAUUAAACCCAGAGGCAGUCAGCGCCACAGUCCACACUCGUAACCGUUACACUCACCUGGAAAUAAAAGUAUUUUUGUGCGGGGACUGCAAGGACUAAGCCCGGCCGCACUCCGAGUUUCUCCUCCUCACAGGUGCUCCAUUAAAUCAGGAACCUUGUUGCUUCUGGUAUCUGGGGUGUCCCACCGCUACCCCCAUGUGAGUGCCUGGCACAUAUAGAUACUUGAUACCUGCUUGCUGAAUAAAUGAAUAAGUGCAACUUGACUGGAUGAUGAGAGGCACAGCUGAGUCCGGAGCAGACUGAGCCACCUAAGAGGGGAGGAACCGCUGCAGAGAAACCGUGUUAAGCCUUUUUGAAGUUCCAGAGGGAGAACAAGAGAGCGGAGGCUCCUGGUGGCUGGUGACAGCUGCUCUUGGCUGGGAGAGCAGAGAACAGGGGACAGGAGAGAAGCCCCGAGAGUACUGAAGCUGAGGCUGGGGCGGUCUUCACUUCCCUCUUUCCUCGGCCCUUUUCCUGUUCUCUUGUCUUGUCUCUCUUUCUCUACUUUCCUUCUCCCUAGCCCAGUCUCUCACCGCUCUUCAGCCUCUGGGCCUUUCCUUCUUCCUCUCUUGCCCUCAUUCUUCCUUCUCUGUCCCUCUUGUCUUCUCUUUUACCUCUUCUCUUCUUCCCUCCUUCCUACAGCUAUGCCCUCUUCCCUCCUUUCUCUUGUCCCCAACCAGGGCAUUAGAAAUGCAUUCCAGUUACACUGAUCUGAUCACUGCAUAUUGUAUGCAUGCAUCAAAAUAUCACAUGUACCCCAGAAAUAUGUAAAUUACUGCAUAUCAAUAAAAAGAAAUGUAGCUUCUUUGCCUCACAUACAGAAAAGCCAAUCUGAAGUAUAAAUAAAUAAACAAACAAAUAAAUAAAACGAACCACACUGGCCCCCCCGCCGCCUCCCAGCCAUCAUCUGGGCCUGCCACUAUUUGCUCAGGGUAUCUAAACAUCAGCCAAAAUCAAAGAAAAAGUUUUAAAAUCUAUUGUUAAAAAUUUCCAAGGCUAAGUUGACAUGCAUGUACAAUAGCAUUUCCCAAACUGUGACUUAAUAAACUCCAAGCCUUCAAGUUGGGAGAGGUGGUUCCAUGAUACCGUUAAAAGCACAGACUGAAGCCCAUCUGCCUGGGUUUAAAUCCUUGCUCUGCAGCAUGAUAGUUAUGUGACC
rnacentral:lncRNA from 10 species